AAGUCGUAACAAGGUUUCCGUAGGUGAACCUGCGGAAGGAUCAUUAAUGCAAAUGUGUGGUUCCCGGUUUCCUCUUUCUCUGCCGGACACCUGUGUGUCCGGGAGAUUCAGAGGGUGGGAUUGCCCAUAUUGAACCCUCUUAAAACGCUCGACUUUUGUUCAUUUAAUUGACCAGAAGCUCGACGUCACAAGUAACCAGAGACUUUUUCUUUUCUGUUCGGGUUUCUGCUAGCGGAAUCCGGAAAGAAGAGGGAAAUGUUCUCUACCAUUUUUUACACCAUAAUUACCCUAUUCUAUAAACUAUUAGACUGAUAUAACAUUCACAUUUUCACAAUGUGAAACAUAAAAAAAAUAAGAACAACUCUUAGCAAUGGAUAUCUAGGCUCUC
rnacentral:misc_RNA from 1 species